ensembl:lncRNA
GGCUACAGCUCCGAUUCAACCCCUAGCCUGGGAACCUCCAUAUGCCGCAGGAGCGGCCCAAGAAAUAGCAACAACAACAACAACAACAACAAAAGACAAAAGACAAAAAAAAAAAAAAAAGAAAGAAAGAAAAGAAAAAGAAGAGUUCCUGUCGUGGCUCAGUGGUUAACGUAUCUGACUAGGAACCAUGAGGUUGCGGGAUCGAUCCCUGGUGUCGCUCAGUGGGUAAAGGAUCUGGCAUUGCUGUGAGCUGUUGUAGGUCCCAGACAUGGCUCAGAUCCCACGUUGCUGUGGCUCUGGUGUAGGCUGGUGGCUACAGCUCCAACUGGACCCCUAGCCUGGGAACCUCCAUAUACCGAGGGAGCAGCCCUAGAAAAGGCAAAAAGACAAAAAAAGAAAAGAAAAAGCAUAUAUAUAUACUAUAUGUAUGUAUGUAUAAUAUGUACAUAUGAAUCACUUUGCUGUACACCUGAAACUAAUACAGAAUUGUAAAUCAACUAUACUUAAAUUAAAAGAAAAAAGUGAAACCCCCCCCCAAAAAAAUAAAGUUCAUUCUCAUGAAUUUAAUCUCAGGUGCUCAGUAGACCUUCAUUUUAUGCCAGGUCAGGGAUUGAACCUUUGUCCUCAUGGAUACUAGUCAGAUUCAUUUCCACUGAGCCAUGACGGGAACUCACUGGUAUUAAUUCUUAUGAAAACAACUUUCUCCUUUAUUCAUCCCUUCCUCCAGCCCAAAUCUAGUGUCUUUUGGCCUUUAUCCUUUUUGAUUGUCUCUCUUUUUAUUGUAGCAUUAUAAAGCCCCUUACCACUUUUCCUUCAUUCCUAGAGUGGAUGAGUGACCACUGUGGGUGUGGCCCUAAAGAGACCAAGAAGAGGGGCUCCCAGCUGAGCUCUGUGCCUUUAACUUCUGCUCCCAUCUUUGACUGUGGAGCCCAGCAAUUCUUCACCCUAGUUUUUGACCCUUCCACUUAAGUCAAAGCUCUGUCUUCAAAGUCUUCGUGUCUGCUCUGCCAGUUUGACCUCUCCAGCUUCUACCUUUCCUUCAUUUCAGUUCAACAAAUCUUUGCUCAGUUAGUGUGCCAAGUAUGCUGAUGCUGGCCUGGAAUUUCUAAAAUGAAUAAGUUGAGGUCUUUGUGAAUCCCAGGCCAGUCAUGGUAAACGCUUUAAACAGAAUGGAGGGAAAAAAAAAAAAAAACAGAAUGGAGAAGGGAGUAGUGAAUCCAGGCUGGGACAGGCCAACCUAUCAGCGUCUUAUCUUGGCAGAAGGGUAGAACUUCCCCAAGUGCACAGGAGGGAGGUCAGAGAGAUUCUGGUAAAGAGACUCAAAUGCCCUGCAAAGGGGUUGAGUUUAUUGGAACAAGCAGUGAGAAGUUAUUUCACCUUUCCACUCAGGAGAGAGUCUCAUCUCUGUGGGUUUUGUUUGUUUGUUUUUUGCUUUUUAAGGCUGCACCUGUGGCAUAUGGAGGUUCCCAGGAUAGGGGUCGAAUUGGAGCUAUAGCUGCUGGUCUGUGCCACAGCCACAGCAAUGAGGGAUCGGAACCGUGUCUGCAACCUAUACCCCAGCUCACAGCAGUGCCAGAUCCCCAACCCACUGAUACUAGUCAGAUUUGUUUCCACUGCGCUGCAGUGGGAACUCCAUCUUUGUGGUUUCAAGUAAGAAAUUUAGCAGUAGUGUUGAUUGUGACCGAUCCACGGGCAAAUUAGGAAAUAAGGACAUUAUAAUGAGCUUUUCACAGACUUGAAUUUAUUUCAUUUAAAGGUUGCUUUUAUUCAAGUCCUGCAGAAUUUUUCUUGUGUUGUAUUAAAUUAACAUUCCUUGUUUCCUGGGUAACAGUACACAGUCUCAACCCCCAUUUACUUAGCUGUUUUUGUUUCGAUUUUUGUAGGUUUGUUUUUAGAAUGACUAGAUAAUUGAUGGCACCCACUACGGAUUGAUUCUUCCAGUUUCACUUUUAAAGAGAAGCUUAUUGUAAAAGGCCAGGGACAUCUGACUCCUGGGCUGCAUUCCUUUCUGGAGUUUGAAAGCCUCUGUGAAUUUCUAGGUUUUCCAUCAAGGUUUUAUUUCCUCAGGGUAGGCAACAUGUCUUCAAAUUUUUGUUCUGUACCUAUGUCUGUUUCCAAGGAGGUGCAUAAUAUUAUUGACAGUUUCUGCCAGCUAAAAUAAUCCUUCUAGAAAUGACAAUAGUUAAGGGGAUUAGAUUUUAGCUUUUGUUGAGAUAUUGGAAUCAUUGUCACUCUCGGGGACACUUUUUCAAGAAGUACUAUUUCACAGGGCUAAGAUCUCUGAAUACACUUUUUUUUUUUUUAAUAGGUAUGUCACAAUUUAUUUUCCAAAUCCUCUGUUAAUAAGUAUCUAGGGGAGUUCCCGUCAUGGCUCAGUGGUUAACGAAUCCAACUAGGAACCAUGAGGUUGCGGGUUCAAUCCCUGGCCUCAUUCUGUGGGUCAAGGAUCCGGCAUUGACAUGAGCUGUGGUCUAGAUGGCAGACACAGCUCCGAUCCCCCAUUGCUGUGGCUGUGGCUCUGGCGUAUAGACCGGAGGCUAUAGCUCCAAUUCGACCCCUAGCCCAGGAACCUCCAUAUGCCGUGGGUGCCACCCUAGGAAAGACAAAAAGACAAAAAAAAAAAAAAAA